AUUGAACGCUGGCGGCAGGCCUAACACAUGCAAGUCGAGCGAGCGGCGGACGGGUGAGUAAUGUCUGGGAAACCGCCUGAUGGAGGGGGAUAACUACCGGAAACGCUAGCCAAUACCGCAUACCAUCAGAUGUGCUCAGGUGGGAUUAGCUAGUGGGUGGGGUAACGGCGGACCUAGGUGACGAUCCCUAGCUGGUCUGAGAGGAUGACCAGCCACACUGGAACUGAGACACGGUCCAGACUCCUACGGGAGGCAGCAGUGGGGAAUAUUGCACAAUGGGCGAAAGCCUGAUGCAGCCAUGCCGCGUGUGUGAAGAAGGCCUUCGGGUUGUAAAGCACUUUCAGCGGGGAGGCGUUACCCGCAGAAGAAGCACCGGCUAACUCCGUGCCAGCAGCCGCGGUAAUUC
rnacentral:rRNA from 1 species